ACGGCAGCACAGAGGAGCUUGCUCCUUGGGUGGCGAGUGGCGGACGGGUGAGGAAUACAUCGGAAUCUACUUUUUCGUGGGGGAUAACGUAGGGAAACUUACGCUAAUACCGCAUACGACCUACGGGUGAAAGCAGGGGAUCUUCGGACCUUGCGCGAUUGAAUGAGCCGAUGUCGGAUUAGCUAGUUGGCGGGGUAAAGGCCCACCAAGGCGACGAUCCGUAGCUGGUCUGAGAGGAUGAUCAGCCACACUGGAACUGAGACACGGUCCAGACUCCUACGGGAGGCAGCAGUGGGGAAUAUUGGACAAUGGGCGCAAGCCUGAUCCAGCCAUACCGCGUGGGUGAAGAAGGCCUUCGGGUUGUAAAGCCCUUUUGUUGGGAAAGAAAUCCAGCCGGCUAAUACCUGGUUGGGAUGACGGUACCCAAAGAAUAAGCACCGGCUAACUUCGUGCCAGCAGCCGCGGUAAUACGAAGGGUGCAAGCGUUACUCGGAAUUACUGGGCGUAAAGCGUGCGUAGGUGGUCGUUUAAGUCCGUUGUGAAAGCCCUGGGCUCAACCUGGGAACUGCAGUGGAUACUGGGCGACUAGAGUGUGGUAGAGGGUAGCGGAAUUCCUGGUGUAGCAGUGAAAUGCGUAGAGAUCAGGAGGAACAUCCAUGGC
rnacentral:rRNA from 2 species